rnacentral:RNase_P_RNA from 1 species
GCGGAAGGCUGGAUGACCGCGGUCGCCGGGGCAACCCGAAGGUCGAGGAAAGUCCGGACUCCAGGAAGAUACGGUGCCGGGUAACACCCGGGCGGGGCAACCCGACGGACAGCGCCACAGAAAUGAAACCGCCGGUCGCGAAAGGUCGGGCAACCGAAACCACGCGGCAGGUAAGGGUGAAACGGUGGGGUAAGAGCCCACCGCGCCGCUGGCAACAGGGGCGGCACGGCAAGCCCCACCGGGAGCAAUGCCAAAUAGGGACCGCGCGCGCCGCCGCAAGGCGGGGCAGGGCCGCUUCUGCCCCAGCAGGUCCGGGUUGGCAGCUACAGCCGCGCAGGCAACUGCGCGGUCAGAGGAAUGGUCAUCGAUGGGGGCAACCCCGGGACAGAAUCCGGCUUACAGGCCUUCCGCGCGU